rfam:Gossypium raimondii chromosome 6, whole genome shotgun sequence.
GGGUGCGAUCCUACCAGCACUAAUGCACCGGAUCCCAUCAGAACUCCGCAGUUAAGCGUGCUUGGGCGAGAGUAGUACUAGGGUGGGUGACCUCCUGGGAUGUCCUCGUGUUGCACCCC